rnacentral:lncRNA from 1 species
AUUUUAUUAAAAAAGUUACAAACAGGUGGACUGCAGGAUCGUCUUACAAAAUGACAAGAAUGAAAUCUAUUGGAAAAAUUUUACUUUUACAAAUCUUUAUAGGUCAUUGUUCAAUGUUUGUACUUGUUAUUCGAGAUUUUUUACCUUUCAUUGAUAAAGUUACAGUACAUUAGAUCCAUGAUAAUAGGUUACAUGAUUUUAUUUGCAGAGCCCUACUGCAGUGAUUUGAACAACUCCUAAACAGAUGCCAUAGUAAAGACAAGACAUAUAUUGCAUUUAAUAUUAAUUUAUUAUCCUAAUAAGCAACUUGACAUGCAAUCUAUUGUGGAAGCUAAAAUAACUUUUGGUCCCUUUUCUUAAAAUGUGCUGGAGAAACCACCUUUAAUCACUUUCCCCUGAUUCCUGUGAUCCUAAGUGAAUUCAAGUUAAAUUUGGUGCUGAGGUCAGUGACAGAGAGACAGAGAGAGAGACAGAGAGAGAGAAUGAGAACUGUCGGUAAGAAAGAAACACUGUAUAAAAAAAUGUAUCUGCAGAAAAUUUAAAUCAUCAUGAAUUAUUUGAUUCCUUUAAAAUUUCACACAGCUGAUAAUGAUGAACCAUGAUCACUUAACCGACUUUGAAGUGAGUGUUUGGUUUUAAGUUUGGUAUUAAAGUGCAAACUUAAGUAUUCAUUUCAAGCAGUUUAUAAAUAAGGAACAAUGUUUCAAUUGCCUCCACCCUUACAAUCUCACCACAAAAUUCAAAAUCUAAGAUCAAGAGUUCACUUUGAGGGAAUUUGAUCAGGAAUCAAAUGCAACACGAUUUAAAAAAAGGAAAUCAAAGUUUAACCAAUUUCUACACAAUAAUUAAUGGUCAUGCUGACCAAUAAAUCACAUGAAUGUAGAUAUCACUUUAUUUGAACAUCACACACAAUAUAAAUUUAAAAUUGCCACACCCUUCCAUAAACCAUCACUGCAUAUAUUAGAGCUUUCCUUGACAAAGUUAUUGAGCUAUUAUUGUAGAUUAAAAGUAUAGUUUUGGUUUUUCGUUUUGUUUUAUUUAGAAGCAUGUUCAAAUGACUAAAGCUGGGCUCCUAAAAUCGAGAACUUUGGUGCAGUAGGUGAGCUGCAGUUACUAACUUCUGCAAAUUAAAAGCAGGCGACUAACCAAAUAAAAAACCAACAACAAAAUACUGUCAAAUUUACAAAAUUUAAAAAUCAUUGCUAGAAAAAGCGCUCAUUGUCAUGAUGUUAAAACUGAACCAAAAGAUUACUCUUUAUAAGUUUCCUUUCCGUUUCUAUACCUGUGUUACUGUUAAAAUGUUCAAGUAUUCAGACAAAAUGUGCUGAUUAGGUAAACAACAUGGAAGGCAAUGGCUAUUAGAAGCACAUUUGAAAAAGAAAAACAAACAAAAACAAAAACAAAAAAUAAAAGCCCAGAGACUUGGCGCUAUCCUCCUUCCUGUUACACAGAUUUUUUGUCUCUACUACAAACAUGCUUCUUGAGAAAUAACUAAAAAGCAAUUGUGAUAGUGCAAGAAAACUUUAACAAAUAUUGCUUUAAACUAUUAUUCAGAAAGACAAAUAUUAAGAACUAGAAAGUGUAUAUGAUUUUAUUUGAAUUCAAUUUUACAUGUGCAGAAGUCUACUAGAUGUCAAUUACAAGCCUGACUGGCAAAGCUGAGCUAUCUCUGUUUGGGUAUACAAUUAAUUUACCAUGGAUACAAUAUCCCUUUUCAAAGGCAUUGCUAAGUAGGUCAUAACUAAAUUUAGAACUUCACAGAAAGGAAAAUGUUACUGCUGCAAUUUGAUGCCGUAAAUGAGAUUAACACAUGUGAAAACCUAAUGGAAUCAAACGCUUAACUCUUCAGCUAAACGUGCUACAAUUUGAAAUAUCAAUUGUAACUUUCAGAACAUGUUAAUUACAAAAAACACAUCACAAACUACACUUGAAGAAAAGGGAUAUUCCAUCCACACAGGUAAAUUAUGAUCUUUAGUUUCUUUUUACAACACUGCCACACGUAAACAAAGUCUCAAAGUAUUAACCAACCAUUUAAAGGAGAAAGAUUUUACAAAUAGAAUGAAGCACUGGUGCGAGGUAAUAUACAGAAGUAACCAUUUGUUUAAGGCUCAAUUUUUUCUCCAUUAUCACUUUCUUUUAAAAGGCAUUGAGUAGGUAAUACUGAGUUUGAGUAUUUAAUAAAUACAAGUUGAGAAACUGAUUAAAGAAAUCAAUUAAAAUAUUAAAAAUUAAUUCUUGCAUAUUAGCCAUCAAUAAGAACUUAGAAAGCUACAAAAGGACUGAUUGAUAAAGAACAGAUUUUAAACGUAUGGUAAACGUGCUAAGCAUUCCCGUUUAAGGUCGAUGGAGCUUGAAGGCCAAAGACCUUAUGCACUUAAUUAGAUGUAUGGCAACAUGCUGUAAGAGAGACAGGUUUACCAAGGCUCAGUUCUGCAACCCAGGUUGUAAAGUUCUCCAAAGCAGCAUCUGUGCAAAUUUCCUCUGAGUUUUAUCUGCAAUUAAGAUAAAAAUGUCAUAAAAACGUAGAAAUAAAGAUUACAGUUUAAAAUGACAACGCUGACAACAGAUCUAUAUACAUAUGGAAGUUGUACCAGAAUAAUGAUCUUUAGAUGGAAUUUCACUGUGUUCCCCAUCAGUUUAAAUUAAAAAGUAAUUUUCUGUUGUCCAAAAAAGUCAUUAGAAACUGUAAUGAUGCAUCGGAUACAAUAUACUUUGUGUAACUACUCUGGUUUAUUUUUUAAAAUAUUAUUAGACUUUACACAAUAUUAAAACUGCUCUUACUUUAAAAGAUCUUACAGUAUAAAGUGGUUUAAAAGAUCUUACAGUAUAAAAGUAGCAGACGUUACUUCUACUUUGAAUUUGAUCUCUUCAUAUUUUUAAUGGGAAACUGUAUUAGAAUUAAAUGCAUAUUAAUUAUGAGCUAACUUGACAGUAUGCAAAACUUUUUGAAAAUUUAGCUUUUCUUGAGAAUUUAAAAUAAGAAAAUGUAAUUCCAUCAAGAUCUAGCUACUGAGCGUCUGCUAGGUGCCCUGACUUGGGUUAGAUAUUAGGUGACAACAGCAGUUCACAUUUCCCACUCUGGUCUGCCCUUUUGUGGACAUCCUCCCCACCACGGGAACUGGUGGGAUUAGGAUUUCUCAGUCUCUGCUCCUACAUCUGAUAGACUUCCG